rnacentral:rRNA from 1 species
ACGAACGCUGGCGGCGCGCUUAACACAUGCCCGUCGAACGGAAAGGCCUGCUUUCCCUUGUGGAUUGCGGGUACUCGAGUGGCGAACGGGUGAGUAACACGUGAGUGAUCUGCCCCCAACUUGGGUAUAAGCCUGGGAAACUGGGUCUAAUUCCCGAUAGGACUGCAGGGUGGUGCCUGUGGUGGAAAACGAUUUUCUAGUGGUUGGGGAUGAGCUCGCGGCCUAUCAGCUUGUUGGUGGGGUAAUGGCCUACCAAGGCGGCGACGGGUAGCCGGCCUGAGAGGGUGGACGGCCAGAGUGGGACUGAGAUACGGCCCAGACUCCUACGGGAGGCAGCAGUGGGGAAGAUUGCACAAUGGGCGGAAGCCUGAUGCAGCGACGCCGCGUGGGGGAUGACGGGCUUCGGGUUGUAAACUCCUUUCGACCGCGAGGAAGCCACCUGGUUGGAAGGGUGGUGACGGUAGUGGUAGAAGAAGCACCGGCUAACUACGUG